GCACAAGCGGUGGAGCAUUGUGGUUUAAUUCGAAGCAACGCGAAGAACCUUACCAGGUCUUGACAUCCCCUGACAACCCGAGAGAUCGGGCGUUCCCCCUUCGGGGGGACAGGGUGACAGGUGGUGCAUGGUUGUCGUCAGCUCGUGUCGUGAGAUGUUGGGUUAAGUCCCGCAACGAGCGCAACCCUCGACCUUAGUUGCCAGCAUUCAGUUGGGCACUCUAAGGUGACUGCCGGCUAAAAGUCGGAGGAAGGUGGGGAUGACGUCAAAUCAUCAUGCCCCUUAUGACCUGGGCUACACACGUGCUACAAUGGGCGGUACAAAGGGUCGCGAACCCGCGAGGGGGAGCCAAUCCCAAAAAGCCGCUCUCAGUUCGGAUUGCAGGCUGCAACUCGCCUGCAUGAAGCCGGAAUCGCUAGUAAUCGCGGAUCAGCACGCCCGCGGUCGAAUACGUUCCCGGGCCUU
rnacentral:rRNA from 1 species